rnacentral:rRNA from 1 species
AAGCUCGUAGUUGGAUUUUGGUUAAGAGGGCGCGGUCGGCCGUUUGGUCUGUACUGCGUUGUCUUGACUUCCUGAUGAGGACAUGCUCUUGGUUAACGCUGAGACAUGGAGUCAUCGUGGUUACUUUGAAAAAAUUAGAGUGUUCAAAGCGGGCUUACGCUUGAAUAUAUUAGCAUGGAAUAACACUAUAGGACUCCUGUCCUAUCUCGUUGGUCUCGGGAUGGGAGUAAUGAUUAAGAGGAACAGUUGGGGGCAUUCGUAUUUCAUUGUCAGAGGUGAAAUUCUUGGAUUUAUGAAAGACGAACUUCUGCGAAAGCAUUUGCCAAGGAUGUUUUCAUUAAUCAAGAACGAAAGUUGGGGGCUCGAAGAUGAUUAGAUACCAUCCUAGUCUCAACCAUAAACGAUGCCGACUAGGGAUUGGUGGAUGUUAAUUGAUGACUUCACCAGCACCUUAUGAGAAAUCAAAGUUUUUGGGUUCCGGGGGGAGUAUGGUCGCAAGGCUGAAACUUAAAGGAAUUGACGGAAGGGCACCACCAGGCGUGGAGCCUGCGGCUUAAUUUGACUCAACACGGGG